GGGGCAGUAGCUCAGAUGGUUAGAGCAGUGAUUACUUUCCGCUGAUGGCAGACAAAGUUCCUGUUAUACGGGUCACAGGUUCGAGUCCUGUCUGCUCCACAA
rnacentral:tRNA from 1 species